AACAUCAUAUUCUAGUAUGAGAAAUUAACGAUUUAAGUCCUUCUUAAAUGAGGCCAUUUACCCAUAGAGGGUGCCAGGCCCGUAUAACGUUAAUGAUUACUAGAUGGUGUUUCCAAAGAGUCGUGUUGCUUGAUAGUGCAGCACUAAGUGGGUGGUAAACUCCAUCUAAAACUAAAUAUAACCAUGAGACCGAUAGUAAACAAGUACCGUGAGGGAAAGUUGAAAAGAACUCUGAAUAGAGAGUUAAAUAGUACGUGAAACUGCUUAGAGGUUAAGCCCGAUGAACCUGAAUAUCCAUUAUGGAAAAUUCAUCAUUAGAAUUGUAAUAUUUAAAUAAUAUUAUAAUAAUAGUGUGCAUUUUUUCCAUAUAAGGACAUUGUAAUCUAUUAACAUGAACCAAAUUUAUCAUAAAAUAUGGCUUAUAGUUUAUUCAAAUUAUUUUGCUUGCAUUUUAACAUAGAAUAAAUGUCAUUAAUUUGAUAAAGUGUUGAUAGAUUUAUAUGACUACAGUGCGUUAAUUUUUCGGAAUUAUAUAAUGGCAUGAUUAUCAAUGAUUUUCUGUGUUUAUUAUAUGCACUUGUAUGAUUAACAAUGCGAAAGAUUCAGGAUACCUUCGGGACCCGUCUUGAAACA
rnacentral:rRNA from 1 species